CCUCCAUACUACUAUAAAUCUCCUCCACCACCCUCUCCGUCACCUCCACCUCCUUACUACUAUAAGUCUCCUCCACCUCCCUCACAUUCCCCUCCUCCACCAUACUAUUACAAGUCUCCUCCACCACCCUCUCCCUCACCCCCACCUCCAUAUUACUACAAAUCUCCUCCACCACCCUCUCCCUCACCCCCACCUCCAUAUUAUUACAAGUCUCCCCCACCACCCUCACCAUCCCCUCCCCCACCAUACUAUUAUAAGUCUCCUCCACCCCCACAUAUACACAAGGACCCACCAUACUAUUACAAGUCCCCACCACCACCUUCACCAUCUCCUCCACCACCUUACUACUAUAAAUCUCCCCCACCACCCUCACCAUCUCCUCCACCACCAUACUACUACAAAUCUCCCCCACCACCUUCACCAUCUCCUCCACCACCAUACUACUACAAAUCUCCUCCUCCUCCAUCCCCUAUCCCCCGUACACCUUACUACUACAAGUCCCCGCCACCACCUUCACCAUCUCCUCCACCACCAUACUAUUACAAAUCUCCUCCCCCGCCAUCUCCUAUUCCCCAGACACCUUACUACUACAAGUCCCCACCACCACCUAAGUAUCUUCCACCACCAUACUAUUAUAACUCUCCUCCUCCACAUGUUGUGUAUCCUCAACCACACCCUUACCACCACUCAUUGAUUGUGAAGGUAGUGGGUAAAGUCUACAGCUUUAGGUGCUAUGAUUGGGAGUAUCCUGAAAAGUCUCAUGACAAGAAACACCUCAAAGGUACAUCACUUACUAAGGAUUGAACUUCUAUACACUAAUGAGUUUAGAGCAUGCAUGAGACUUAAUCGUUUAUCUGUUAAAAUCUUAAUUGCUUUAAAAUUAUUCAUUAAUAUUUUGAUAAAAAAUACAACUCUCUGUUUAUUUUGAUAUAUAGAUAGAUAGAUAAUUCAAAUAUAAAAUUCAAAUUAACUUUUAUCCACACGACAAUGGGCCAAUUUGAUUAAGAUUUUCCUAAAAAAUGAUUUUAUAGUAUUUUAUCUUUUUAUAAUAUUUUUAAAAAUAAAACUUCAAAUAAAAAAUUAGUUUAAAUAGUUUAUUUUAAAAUAUCGUUUUAAGUAUUUCAUCUAUUUAAUUAUUUUUGUGGACAAUGAAAUUUCAAAAAAAUGAUUAAAAUAAAAUCUAUUUUAAGAAUCUUUUUGUAAAAAUUAUUUUUGAAAGAUAUCUUUUUUUUUUAAAUUAUUUUUUAUCAUAUUAAAAUCUCUAAUAAUAAAUGUUUAAGUUAUUGAAUGUCAAAAUUAUUUUUUUAGUUGGUAAUAAAUAAAUGUAAAACAAACUUUAAUAUUUUUAAGUAAAUUCUCAUAAAAAUUUAAAUAUAUAAAAUCAAUUACUUUUUAAAAAUUUUAAAUAAUCGAAUUCAAUAUAAAUUGCUUAGAACCGGCUACAACCUGCCAAGAAUAAAGAAAACAAUCAAUAUGUCAAAUUAAUAUGUACAAUCUACCUCGUUGGAAUUUAAUAAUUGCCCCUAAUUUAAUAUUCUACUUGAAAUUGAUUGUUUAACAUGCUGCUUUUAAUAAUAAAGACCUAUAUAGUAUGUGUUUCUAUAUUUUACUCGAUCCUAAAGUAAUUUUGUUAUGGGGCAGGUGCUGUUGUUGAGGUGACAUGCAAAGCAGGAAGCAAAAUCAUCAAGGCUUAUGGUAAAACUAAGAUCAACGGAAAGUAUAGCAUCACAGUUGAGGAUUUUGACUAUGUUAAAUAUGGUGCCACAGUGUGCAAAGCUGUGCUUUAUGCUCCACCUAAAAACUCACCUUUCAACAUACUUACAAAGCUAAACCAAGGAACCCCAUUGAAGUUGAAAUCCAAAGACAAGUAUGAGGUUGUGCUUCAGGCUAAGCCAUUUGCUUAUGCUUCAAAGAAACAUUUUAAAGAAUGUGAGAAGCCCAAGCCUUCACCAACUCCAUACUACUACAAGUCACCUCCUCCUCCGGUGCCAGUUUACAAGUACAACUCACCACCUCCACCGGUCCAUUAUUAUUCUCCUCCGUAUUACUACAAAUCACCACCUCCUCCUGUAAAAACACCGCCACAUCCUUACUAUUACAAGUCUCCACCACCACCAUCACCAUCUCCUCCUCCUCCAUAUUAUUACAAAUCUCCCCCACCUCCUUCACCAUCACCUCCUCCACCUUAUUAUUAUAAAUCUCCUCCUCCACCCAAAGUGAUAUCAAACCCUCCAUACUACUAUAAGUCACCACCUCCACCAUCACCGUCACCUCCUCCACCAUACUACUAUAAGUCCCCACCUCCACCAUCACCAUCUCCACCACCCCCAUACUAUUAUAAGUCACCACCUCCACCAUCACCAUCACCUCCUCCACCAUACUACUAUAAGUCCCCACCUCCACCAUCACCAUCACCUCCUCCACCAUACUACUAUAAGUCCCCACCCCCACCAUCACCAUCCCCACCACCACCUUACUAUUAUAAGUCCCCACCUCCACCCAAAGAGAUUUCACACCCUCCAUACUACUAUAAAUCACCACCCCCACCAUCACCGUCACCUCCUCCACCAUACUACUAUAAGUCCCCACCCCCACCAUCACCAUCCCCACCACCACCUUAUUAUUAUAAGUCUCCACCUCCACCCAAAGAGAUUUCACACCCUCCAUACUAUUAUAAGUCACCACCCCCGCCAUCACCAUCCCCUCCUCCGCCAUACUACUAUAAGUCACCACCCCCACCAU
rnacentral:lncRNA from 1 species